GACGAACGCUGGCGGCGUGCCUAAUACAUGCAAGUAGAACGCUGAAGAGAGGAGCUUGCUCUUCUUGGAUGAGUUGCGAACGGGUGAGUAACGCGUAGGUAACCUGCCUGGUAGCGGGGGAUAACUAUUGGAAACGAUAGCUAAUACCGCAUAAAAUGGAUUAUCGCAUGAUAAUCCAUUGAAAGGUGCAAAUGCAUCACUACCAGAUGGACCUGCGUUGUAUUAGCUAGUUGGUGGGGUAACGGCUCACCAAGGCGACGAUACAUAGCCGACCUGAGAGGGUGAUCGGCCACACUGGGACUGAGACACGGCCCAGACUCCUACGGGAGGCAGCAGUAGGGAAUCUUCGGCAAUGGACGGAAGUCUGACCGAGCAACGCCGCGUGAGUGAAGAAGGGUUUCGGAUCGUAAAGCUCUGUUGUAAGAGAAGAACGAGUGUGAGAGUGGAAAGUUCACACUGUGACGGUAUCUUAACAGAAAGGGACGGCUAACUACGUG
rnacentral:rRNA from 1 species